AGCAGCCGCGGUAAUUCCAGCUCCAAUAGCGUAUAUUAAAGUUGUUGCAGUUAAAAAGCUCGUAGUUGAAUUUCGGGGUUAGUAGGUCGGUCAUGCCUCUGGUAUGUACUGGUCUCACUGAUUCCUCCUUCCUGAUGAGCCGUAAUGCCAUUAAUUUGGUGUUGCGGGGAAUUUGGACUGUUACUUUGAAAAAUUAGAGUGUUUAAAGCAAGCUAACGCUUGAAUACAUUAGCAUGGAAUAAUGAAAUAGGACGUUUGAUUCUAUUUUGUUGGUUUCUAGGAUCGACGUAAUGAUUAAUAGGGAUAGUUGGGGGCAUUAGUAUUCAAUUGUCAGAGGUGAAAUUCUUGGAUUUAUUGAAGACUAACUACUGCGAAAGCAUUUGCCAAGGAUGUUUUCAUUAAUCAAGAACGAAAGUUAGGGGAUCGAAGACGAUCAGAUACCGUCGUAGUCUUAACCAUAAACUAUGCCGACUAGGGAUCGGAUGAUGUUAAUUUUUAAUGUACUCAUUCGGCGCCUUAC
rnacentral:rRNA from 1 species